GACGAACGCUGGCGGCGUGCUUAACACAUGCAAGUCGAACGGAAAGGCCCUGCUUUUGUGGGGUGCUCGAGUGGCGAACGGGUGAGUAACACGUGAGUAACCUGCCCUUGACUUUGGGAUAACUUCAGGAAACUGGGGCUAAUACCGGAUAGGAGCUCCUGCUGCAUGGUGGGGGUUGGAAAGUUUCGGCGGUUGGGGAUGGACUCGCGGCUUAUCAGCUUGUUGGUGGGGUAGUGGCUUACCAAGGCUUUGACGGGUAGCCGGCCUGAGAGGGUGACCGGCCACAUUGGGACUGAGAUACGGCCCAGACUCCUACGGGAGGCAGCAGUGGGAAAUAUUGCACAAUGGGCGGAAGCCUGAUACAGCAACGCCGCGUGCGGGAUGACGGCCUUCGGGUUGUAAACCGCUUUCGCCUGUGACGAAGCGUGAGUGACGGUAAUGGGUAAAGAAGCACCGGCUAACUACGUG
rnacentral:rRNA from 1 species